rnacentral:rRNA from 1 species
UACGAAGGGUGCAAGCGUUACUCGGAAUUACUGGGCGUAAAGCGUGCGUAGGUGGUGCGUUAAGUCUGUCGUGAAAGCCCCGGGCUCAACCUGGGAAUGGCGAUGGAUACUGGGCAGCUAGAGUGUGUCAGAGGAUGGUGGAAUUCCCGGUGUAGCGGUGAAAUGCGUAGAGAUCGGGAGGAACAUCAGUGGCGAAGGCGGCCAUCUGGGACAACACUGACGCUGAAGCACGAAAGCGUGGGGAGCAAACAGG